CAUACAGACUUGAUUCCUGGUAGAGCCCUACCCUGAGAAUCAGUGUGGUUUAGUAAAACCACACUGGCGAUACAGUAUAGCUGAGUCUUGUUAGGCCUGGGUUUGAAUCUGGACCCUUAUAAUGAGCUGCCGUACAACCUUGGGUAAGUGAUUUUAACCCUUGGGGCUUUAGCUUCUGUCAUCUGUGACAGAGAGAGAUACUAGCAGCUGCCCUCCAGAGCUGCAUCUUAUCCUUUCUCUCUCCCCCUCUCCCUCAAACCUACUUAUUUUAGCUGAGGCCCUUGGCCUCAUUUGUAAGCCUGGACUCUGGCCUGCACCAGCUGGGAUUCUUUAAUUGUUAACUGGCUAAUAAAAUAAUAGAAAUUUAUUGG
rnacentral:lncRNA from 1 species